GACCGAACACGGCCGAGCGCGCACGCGUCGGCGACCGCGACGAGUAGGUUUGUUAUUCUCGGUCAGAUUCGAUUGUAUCGCCGUAAGAUCGCGACGAUAACACGUUACGCAGUGAUGUACGCAUAUUUGUCGCGAGUGUCGUCCAUCUCGUCGCGUUCUAUCCCGCUGUCGCGAUAUUACGGAAUUACGAUAUACGAGUGCUUUAGAUCUACGAGCAGCUUGAAAGAAGACUAAAGCAGGUCUGGCAACAUUUGGCGGUGCUUGUUAAGGGAAGAAAAUGUAGGAUCGUGGUGAAAAGUCGGUAGUAGUUUCCAGCACACCAACGGAACGAAUUUCAUUCACGGAACAAAGAAAGUACUUGGCUGAUCGACCUCGACCACCGACCGGAACUUGGAAGGCUGGAAAGUAUCCUGCAGAUCGAGGAAACCCCUGACAACCUGACGCUGCUUCAGAUUUGACUCACCAUCAAGGUUGCACGUAUCGAGAUAAGCUAAUCCCUGAGGAUCGCUGCUUCUCAGAAGCAAAAGAUCGGCCGGUACCAGUUCGUUGUUUGAGAGGUGAACCAGGUCACCCACCUUGACAUCCUUCCACGCCACCUUCAUAUAUCUGUCGCCUUCGCUACAAUGAAAUCACAAGAGAAAUCUCUCGUCAAGAAACUGAGGCAUUACUUUUAAAUAUUACUUAAGCGACCACAUUGAAAAAGGUAAUUACAUUUUCGUAAUCGUGCGAAAUAAUUGGAGAGUUUGUACGGUAAAUAGAUUACUUCAUCCGCGGCGCUUCCUAAUUUUAUCGCAUGAUUCGCAAUUACGAAUAUUACGUAAAUUACAAUUUACGGCAUAACUUUGCAAUAAGGAUUUAAUUGCAAGGAUGGAUGUAACUAAGAGACUGCAAAUAUUUACUUAACAGAACGCAGUUUAUUUUAGCUUAAUAAACUUAGGCCAUUACGUGUUGAAUAUAUUAUGCAAUACUCUACAGUUUUCAGUAAAUUAAUCAAGUAACUGCGACAUGCGCGUGCACGCAUGCCAUUAUUCUAUUAUUAGGAUCAGAAAGGGAUUAAAUCAAUUAUUUAUACUUUCUUUAUUGUACGAACAAAGGAAAAAAUAUCUGGCAAAUAAAGUUGUAGAAUCUUAUUUAAGGGAUUGACGUAAGACAAUCGACAAAUCCUCGCGUUGCAUAAAAGAACUCAUAAGGCUACCCUGCUGUCGUCAAUGUCGCGAAAAUGAAUAUUAUACAGAGUUUUGUACAGCGCGAAACACACACACACACACACGCAAAUAUUUAUCAAGACCGAAACGAGCCCAGCGAGAUACAUGUAUCCGUUAAUAAGCAUUUGAAAUCCACGUAUACGCAUCGGAAUAGAAAAUUGACCUUACUUUAUCAUAAAUAGCGCGAUGAAAAAUUAAUAAAUCGACAAUAUGUUAUUCUUUCAGUCAUUUUUCUUAAUCGAAAUGAUUAGCUUUAAUAUUACACAAUGCGCUAAAAAUAUUCGAUAAUUCGCGCAAAAGAUUUAGGAAACAUUUAAAACGAUUCUCUAUCUAAUAACAAUUAAAGAUUAAUACAUGAGAUAUUGAUAUAUGCGGAACGAAAUCGAGUUGCUGGAGUCGCUUGUGAAAACUCGGAUUCUCUCUCUAUGACGUGAUUUUUUAUUACUCUCUAAGUUGUAAGCAAUGGCAGAUCGCGACAGGCGUGACCUUGAGUAGCUAAUUCAAGUGUUCAGAAGAUAGAUUCAUCUCGCUCGAGCGUUCUCCGAGCUGCUAUGAUGAAAUCGGCGAUUGGCGAUAUAUUUCCUUCAAUUGCAAGCGUUGACUUUGAACGUCACGUCCGCACCCGUUUGAUCGGAACGAAUUUCAGACGACGAGUUAUCGGAGGCGAACGCGUGGGCGAACUCCUCGAAAGGAUGGCAAACAGCUGUUUGCCGUUUGACAUUUGAACGGGAUGAACGAGGAAUAGUCGUUGUUUAUUCGCGUUCAUUUCAGGAACCGAGAAAGAAUACUUUACUGUCACAAGGUCGUCUCAUGCAGAGACGAGACUAAAUAAUGCAAAUAUCAAUUCUUUUGUUUGUCUCAGAGGAUAAUACAAAGUAAGAAACGCGUCAUUCUUGCUUUUGUAUCGUUCAAUUUUUCGCCACAUUUAGUGUGACAUCGAAAUGAAUUGCCGUAAAUGUAUUAUGCAUCGCGUAUCGUAUCAUUAGUAUUAUCGCGAUUAGGUGUGGCUAUUUUAUCGCGGAUUCGUGUCGUUGCCUUGCGACGGAUUCGCAGCACGUAACGCGGAUACACGAGUUAAUUAUGCAAUUAUAUACGCAUAUUUAUAUAAACGUAUAUUUACGGGUGACGUUAUAACGAUCGCUGUAUGAUAUUUGUAAAUGCAUGAUACGGAUGAAACGAGACUGGAAACGGGCUAGAAAUCUAUCUCAUGGCUCUUCCAAGAUCAUUUAUCCCCAGGUAUAAUAUAAUGUUGCAAAAACAAUAGCUACUGAACAUUGACCAACAAUAAAUAGCAGGUUUUUAUGCACGCACGGUGGAUUAUUUAAAUGACACAUAACUAUGUAUCGGCACGGUGUAUUAAAGUAGAGCAAUUAAUCCGUCAUAAUUAUUCGUCGUUUACUACCUUUUGAAUGUUCUUUUUCUCAGUUAUGCCAGAGAAUAUCAAAGGCAUCGUAUAUACCGCGGCAGUACGUAUUUGCUAUCGCUCUAACCGCAUAAUAAUUUCAGGACAAGUUUUCAACCACAUAGCAAGAGAUAACGAGUCAAGGAUAGUUUACUAGUUGCACGCAUUAUAUUACAAUCUUAUCAUAAUUCGCGUAACUUUCGUGAUAUUUCUAAGUGAAAAGAUUUUCAACAUUUCGACGUUUGGCAUCUCUUGGCAUCUAAGUUGAUCUUAAAAUGGUUACGCCUCUAUAACAUCGCCAAAAAACCACAGGAGACUUGUGAAGUGUUUAUCGUACAUUUAUUCUUUAGCAUGUUGGAAUAUUUAUUGAUUUAUUGGAAACUAAUAUCCUCAUUCAGAGAGAAACAAUUUUUUAAAAAUUUGUAUAUUAAAAUAUUAUUAAAGCAUAUUUAAAAAUAAUGCCAAAAAAAAAAAAAAA